GCAUCACUGGUGUUCGGGUUGUCAUGCCAAUGGCACUGCCCGGUAGCUAAAUGCGGAAGAGAUAAGUGCUGAAAGCAUCUAAGCACGAAACUUGCCCCGAGAUGAGUUCUCCCUGAGACUUUAAGUCUCCUGAAGGAACGUUAAAGACGAUGACGUUGAUAGGCCGGGUGUGUAAGCGCAGCGAUGCGUUGAGCUAACCGGUACUAAUGAACCGUGAGGCUUAACCUU
rnacentral:rRNA from 1 species